UGGGGUGUGGCCAAGUGGUAAGGCAAUAGGUUCUGGUCCUAUGAUCCUAGGUUCGAAUCCUAGCACCCCAG
rnacentral:tRNA from 1 species